GAUCAUGGCUCAGGAUGAACGCUGGCGGCGUGCUUAACACAUGCAAGUCGAACGAAGCACUUGAGAUUGAUUCUUCGGAAGAUUUCUCUUGUGACUUAGUGGCGGACGGGUGAGUAACGCGUGGGUAACCUGCCUCACACAGGGGGAUAACAGUUGGAAACGACCGCUAAUACCGCAUAAGACCACAGCACCGCAUGGUGCGGGGGUAAAAACUCCGGUGGUAUGAGAUGGACCCGCGU
rnacentral:rRNA from 1 species